ACAUGCGUAUUUAAUCAUUCGUCAUAUGAAUAACGAAGGACUAAACUGUGGUACGCGUUCAUAUUUCAUUCCAUGCAACACCAUUGACCCAAAAGGUCGUGGUUUUUCAAAAUGAAGUGUUAUUUAUUAUUUCUAUUUGGUAUCUCUUUGAGUGUAAAUAUCAGAGCAGAAGAUGCCACAGUGUCAGUGGAUAAAACUGUCUGGGAUAACAUCUACAAUGCAGCCAUAAUUGUAUGCGCCUGUACAGCUAAGCCGAUUCCAACUGUUCCACCACGAGUGUGUAGCAACCGGACACGUUUUGACAGCUUAUCUGUAGUUGAAGUCAAUGCGGCUAUUAUACUUUGUGAGAACAUAAAUGCUGUCAAUAUAAAAUUGACAGGGCCGCCAAAACGCAACGAUGGAACCGUGGAGCCAGGAAGCGGCGAUGGAACGGUGAAGCCAGGAACAAAUGGCACCCUGGAGCCAGGAAGCGGCGAUGGAACGGUGAAGCCAGGAACAAAUGGCACCGUGGAGCCAGGAAGCGGUGAUGGAACGGUGAAGCCAGGUACAAAUGGCACCGUGGAGCCAGGAAGCGGCGAUGGAACCGUGAAACCAGGAACAAAUGGCACCGUGGAGCCAGGAAGCGGUGAUGGAACGGUGAAGUCAGGUACAAAUGGCACCGUGGAGCCAGGAAGCGGCGAUGGAACGGUGAAGCCAGGAACAAAUGGCACCGUGGAGCCAGGAAGCGGCGAUGGAACGGUGAAGCCAGGAACAAAUGGCACCGUGGAGCCAGGAAGCGGCGAUGGGACGGUGAAGCCAGGAACAAAUGGCACCGUGGGGCCAGGAAGCGGCGAUGGAACCGUGAAGCCAGGAACAAAUGGCACCGUGGAGCCAGGAAGCGGCGAUGGAACCAUGAAGCCAGGAACAAAUGGCACCGUGGAGCCAGGAAGCGGCGAUGGAACCAUGAAGCCAGGAACAAAUGGCACCGUGGAGCCAGGAAGCGGCGAUGGAACCAUGAAGCCAGGAACAAAUGGCACUGUAAAGCCAGGAACAAAUGGCACCGUGGAGCCAGGAAGCGGCGAUGGAACCGUGAAGCCAGGAACAAAUGGCACCGUGGAGCCAGGAAGCGGCGAUGGAACCGUGGAGCCAGGAACAAAUGGCACCGUGAAGCCAGGAACAAAUGGCACCGUGGAGCCAGGAAGCGGCGAUGGAACCGUGAAGCCAGGAACAAAUGGCACCGUGAAGCCAGGAACAAAUGGCACCGUGGAGCCAGGAAGCGGCGAUGGAACGGUGAAGCCAGGAACAAAUGGCACCGUGAAGCCAGGAACAAAUGGCACCGUGAAGCCAGGAACAAAUGGCACCGUGAAGCCAGAAACGAAUGCCACCGUGAAGCCAGAAACCAAUGCCAGAGGAACACCAGGAAGCAAUAGAACGCCAGGAAGCAACAGUGGCCACGAUGCAGCAGCUGGUCAUCAGGUGACCAACAAGCCAGAGCCGACGAAAGUUGCAAUCCAUGUCGUGGUAAUAGGAGUGUUCUGCGCCUUCGCUGCCGGAGUCCUCGUUGCCAUCGGCUGCAAAUACGCAUACGACCGCUAUAGAAAACGAUCUUACGGGGGUGCGAACAACCGGGCUUAGUGGGAAAAACAACGAAGCAACGUCGCCAAGAGGGUCCUGCCGACAUUUAAGUUCUUCCACCGGAGCAGGGCAUGCAAAUGUGAAAUGGAUUAGAUUUAGUUAGGUAA